rnacentral:lncRNA from 1 species
CUGUGGUUGCCCUCAGGUUGAGUCGUGGGUUCUCCAUUAGAGCUUUGAGGCCCUUCAGAGGAAGUAGCUGAUCGGUGCUGCUUAUCCACAGUAGGUGAAGAAUUAGUCCUCUUUGAUAAAGAUGGUGAGAAGGACCAAUUAUUUUCACUGCUAUUCGUGCCCAACCCUGUUAUCUCCCUCUUGGCCAGGGCUUUGGAAAAGCUUUUGAAGCUCACUUUGUCCUCUGUGAGCCUGAUGGAUUUGUCUCCAGCUGCCCCAUAUUCCUCAAGUGCAGUUGGUGGGGGAGGAGGUGGGAAUUCCUCCGUGCCAUUCACUGAAGUGCAAGAGCUCAGCUCGGGAAGAGGAUGGGGUGGCAGUGGGGGUGAGAAGGCUGGAGCAGUGACAGCAGGCUGGGAAGGCAUGAUGAACACCUCAUCGUCUUCAUCAUCCUGCAGCAACGGCGGAGGUGUGAGCUGCAGGCAUGACUCUGAGAUCCGGAGGUCCUGGAGUGGAAAGACAGCAUUAUCAGCAACAAAUGAAAGAAAGCAACAAAACACUGAUGCUCCCUACUAAGAAGCCAUAGCACAUACCACACAGUACUCAUAGCUAGGCCCUGCCUCCUCUAAAAACAUGCCCAAAUGUAUCAGUGGGAGCUGGGUGCUCACUGAUGUUUAUAUAUGCAAGCAAGAAGCUGAGGUAUCAUUAAAACAGCCUUAACCAGAGAAGUUGGACAAUGAACAACCUGUGCCCAAACCCAGCACCAAAACAGGAGGAAAAUGCUGCAGAGAGAUGCUGAGCAGCACAGAGGUCAGGAGCUCCAGUCACAAGCACAUGUGCUGAAAAACAUCACCAAGUUUUGCACUCAGUUUUCUGAACAGAAGUGCUGGACCUAACUCCUCUUUGGGCAUCUAAUCCAAAACCAGGGAAAUGCCAGAGCUGAAAUAGCUUUGUGAAUCUGACUCUCUGUGCCAUAAGACUACUAUGAGACGUGAAAGCAAAUGCUACGCCUGCUUUUGAAGAGGUUGGUAUUUUCUCCCAAGUGACCUCUUCAGCACAGCGCAACCCAUUGCCCCCUUCCCCACACCCUUCCUUGUUCUUUUUUUUUUUUGGCCACUGUUGCUACAGGGUAAGGCUAAGAGCAGGUCUUAAUUUAGGAGUUGGAGAGCUGGGAGAUAUGCAGGCUGAGACAGAUUUAAAAAGCAGAAGGGAAAGAAGGCUGAGAAUCUGCUCUGAAGACCGAGCGCUAAUAAUUCCACACGGCUAUCUAUUUCCUUAUAUCUCUAAACAAAUUCCUACAGUGACACUGCAACGUGAUUUAUAUGUAGCCUGAAAGGAAUAUCAUAGGCUGUACACAAGGCCCUGCAAAAUAUAUGGUGAGGCUGAGAAGUCUGCUGCUAAACUGGAAAUAAACAUUUCCCACAAAAAAAUCACAAAAGGUCCCAGAAAACCCCAACCACCCCAUUGCUUUGGCUUCGUCCCUCACUUGUUUUUUUUUACUGUUGUAUUGGAGAUGGUUCAGAAACAGAGCUAAGAGAGCACUCAGAUAUACUUUCAAACAGACGCUAAAAUUUUGCUGCAUAUGUUUGAAGUCAAACGUGCUUUCCUGAAUUAGGAAUUAAGAACAGGAUUUUCACCAGAGCUUCGCUGCCUCUGAGACUAAACACUCGCUCCAGAAGUGAAUACAGCCAAGGCCCCCUGGAAAAGAGCAGCAAGGGCUCUACCCUCUUUCUGGAUUUGGAAGAAGAUGCUGGAAGACGCUGUGAGCAGCUCUGCGCCACUGUUUACCAUGUUUCUUGAGCUGGCUUCCACCAGGCAGAACUCUGGUUUGGCUGAUGAAUGUACACAAGAUUAAACAUGAGCCAGCAAGGGAAACAUUAAGGAUUUCAAGAACUUCCCUGUGCGUCUCCUGCCUGAGACAGCAGGCUGGUUAAAUGUGAGCUGUUAAUUGACCGUUGGGAUCUGAGGUCUGUGAAGAGAGGGUAUGCAGAAAGUAACACCAAGGGGUCUGGGAGGAUGACUCCUUUCCCUGCCCAGAGCACUCUCCCCAUAUCCCUUUUUACAGUACUCGAUUCAGUAUCCCCUCACUGCACCUUCAUAAUCCUUCUGGGCAGCCAUAACUGUUUGAAUAGCAGAAGGGGUCCUGGGUCUCAGAUGCCCUUUAAAUACGCAGACCUGCCCAAACACAGACUAUUUGCAACAAGAAGCCUGCCUACACGUUCAGGCUGCUUCCUCCCUCUCUCUGUGAUGAGCAGAGCCUGGUGUGAAGACAGGGACAGGGGAGCAAGCCCACCGCUGCUGCAGAUCACAGUGGCUUGAGCAGCUGCAGUUACCUAAAUAGGUCUGCACAGAUCGCAGCCUGGGCAGUUGUUCUUUAAGAAGUUAGCCUAUUUCCACUAUUUACUGUCCGUGGAGUCAGUCAAAUUCCCUGUUCAUGACAUCAGUGCUAUGUUCCCAACCACCAAGCAGGGGACAUGGAGAGAGAGGACUGGGUCUCCUCUAAAUUUCUUCCACAGUGUUUCCCUCCAGGUCUGGAGGCAAAACUUAGCAGUUACUUGGCAGUGCCUGUUCUGAGCAUUUCCCAGCACUGUCAGGCACAGCACGAGCAGGGGCAAUUUCAAGCAGCCUUUAAGAUCCUCUGCUUUGCACUAGGGAAGUGGGUUAAGGAAAAACAGCAGCAGCAGCAUGGAGUACACCCCACCAGAAACAUCCCAGUGCUUUCCCACUGAUGCUGGCAGGUAAACGCAUGACACAUUGGAUGGUCUGCCAGGGACAGGAAGCACACAAACAUGUUAUCAGCAGAUGCAAUGAAAUCCCUGCAUCUGUGAAAUCCCUGCAGGAGCCCCAGCAGUGAGAAAGCAGAACAGAAGCAAUACCUCAGCGGCAAGCAAUUAAAACAGCAUCCUAAUGUACAAGGAAUAAAUGGUCUGUACCUCAGCAUGCAUUUAACCUUUCAGUACCAGUGGAGUUAUUCCUGGGACAGAGCAUCAGUCUGUUGCCUGACAUCCCCCAUUUCCCCGCUUUCCUGAACAGACAAUCCAAUUUCUACAUACCUGGUGGUUUUUAUCCGCUGUGGGGGACGAUCUGGAACGUGUGUGCACAGGGACAUAUGCAUUCCUUUGCUGAUUGUCAUAUCUAUCAAGCAAGUCUUCCACAGACACUGAUUUCCCAGAUUUCCCGGGUGUUUCAAAGCUCCGCUCCUUCUUCCCAUAGCAAGGUUGGCCUUGUGGGCGCAGAGGAUCUGUCUGCGUACCUUUGGUGACCUCCAUUUUGGCUCUGUAAUCCCAACACCUGUCUGUUUUCGAUCUGCUCAUGAUCGAGCUGUCCCGGUGUCCUUUCUUCUGCUCAUCCCCACUCCCAUCAAAGCAGCCCGUCAGCCCCGGAGGAAGGGUGGAAGACACCCGCCCUGUCCUGGCUAUCCACUCAGUGAACUCUCUCUGGCGGAAGAGGUUCUGAUCCUGGAGAGAAUUCAUGCUGGAGGCAGAGGAAAGGCUCUGGCUGUCCUGGCCACCUGCUUGCAGGUAGGAGCUGUGGGAUCGCUCCCUGAGCAGCCCAAUGUCCUGUGAGGAUGGUCGUUUGCCCGUUUUGCGCUCAAUGUAGUCGGCGAGGGCAUUCUGCUGGAGUUGCUUGAGCUCUGGCUUAGAGAGGCUGACUGUGGAAGAAGCUUUGCCAUCC